AAUACCGAAUGGCGAAAGGGCCAAACCAUCUGGCCCUAAACACCUGACGCUGAGGUUAACGAAAGCAAGGGGGCAAACAGGGAUUUAAAUAACCCUGGUAGUACAAAGCCGUAAUACGAUGUCUAAAUAGACCGUUGGGACCUAAGAAGGCUUUAGUGGAGCAGCUAAACGCGAUAAGUAGAUACGCCUGGGGAGUACGGUCGCAAGACUAAAACUCAAAUGAAUUGACGGGGGCACCGCACAAACGGUGGAGCAUGUGGUUUAAUUCGAUGCAUACGCGAAGAACCUUACCUGGUCUUGACAUAGUAAGAACUUUCCAGAGAUGGAUUGGUGCCUUCGGGAACUUACAUACAGGUGCUGCAUGGCUGUCGUCAGCUCGUGUCGUGAGAUGUUGGGUUAAGUCCCGCAACGAGCGCAACCCUUUUCCUUAUUNGCCAGCACUUCGGGUGGGAACUUUAAGGAUACUGCCAGUGACAAACUGGAGGAAGGCGGGGACGACGUCAAGUCAUCAUGGCCCUUACGACCAGGGCUACACACGUGCUACAAUGGUCGGUACAAAGGGUUGCUACCUAGCGAUAGGAUGCUAAUCUCAAAAAGCCGAUCGUAGUCCGGAUUGGAGUCUGCA
rnacentral:rRNA from 2 species